UUAUUUUUAUUAAAUUAAAAUUAAUUAGUUAUUAAAUGUAUAAUCAUUAAAAAUAAAAAAUUUGGCGGUAUUUAAUGUUUAGAGGAACUUGUUUGUUAAAUUGAUAAUCCACGAAUGGAAAUACUUAAUUUGAUAAUUUUAUGUAUUGUUGUUGAAAAAUUGUAUUAAAAGAUAAAAAUUAAAAAAUUUAAUUUAAUUAUAAUUCAAAUCAAAAUGUAGAAUAAUUAAGAAUUUAAAUGAGUUACAGUUAAAUAAAUAAUUGAAUUUUAUAAUUUAAUUUAUAAAUGAAAGUGGAUUUAAAAGUAAAUUUAUAAAAAUUUAUAAAUGAAA
rnacentral:rRNA from 1 species